rnacentral:rRNA from 1 species
CUACGGAGGGUGCAAGCGUUACUCGGAAUCACUGGGCGUAAAGCGCGCGCAGGCGGUCUUUUAAGUUGGAUGUGAAAGCCUACGGCUCAACCGUAGAACUGCAUCCAAAACUAUUAGACUAGAGUGUGGGAGAGGAAGAUGGAAUUAGUUGUGUAGGGGUAAAAUCUGUAGAGAUAACUAGGAAUACCAAAAGCGAAGGCAAUCUUCUGGAACACUACUGACGCUGAGGCGCGAAAGCGUGGGUAGCAAACAGGAUUAGAAACCCUAGUAGUCC